CAGGACGAACGCUAGCGGCAGGCCUAAUACAUGCAAGUCGAACGGUAAGUCCCUUCGGGGAUACACGAGUGGCGCCGGGUGCGUACACGUAUGCAACUACCCUCCGGAGGGGGAUAGUCGCGGGAAACUGCGAAUAAUACCCCAUGUGUUCAUUGGUUGGCAUCAACUGAUGAAGAAAGUUCCGGCGCCGGGGGAUGGGCAUGCGUCCCAUUAGCUAGUUGGUGAGGUAACGGCUCACCAAGGCGACGAUGGGUAGCUGGUCUGAGAGGAUGAUCAGCCACACGGGCACUGAGAUACGGGCCCGACUCCUACGGGAGGCAGCAGUAAGGAAUCUUGGUCGAUGGGGGCAACCCUGAACCAGCCAUGCCGCGUGGAGGAAGACGGCCCUCCGGGUUGUAAACUCCUUUAGUCAGGGACUAAUUGUGGGCUAUAGGCACACUUGCAGGUACCUGAAGAAUAAGCGCCGGCUAACUACGUGCCAGCAGCCGCGGUAAUACGUAGGGCGCAAGCGUUGUCCGGAUUUAUUGGGUUUAAAGGGUGCGUAGGCGGAUUGUUAAGUUCGUGGUGAAAUCGUUCCGCUUAACGGAAUAACCGCCAUGGAUACUGGCAGUCUUGAGUGCGGUAGAGGAAGUUAGAAUGCGUGGUGUAGCGGUGAAAUGCAUAGAUAUCACGCAGAAUACCGAUUGCGAAGGCAGAUUUCUAUACCGUAACUGGCGCUGAGGCACGAAAGCGUGGGGAGCGAACAGGAUUAGAUACCCUGGUAGUCCACGCUGUAAACGUUGAUCACUAGGUGUUCGGCCGUAUGGCUGAGUGCCCAAGCGAAAGCGAUAAGUGAUCCACCUGGGGAGUACGU
rnacentral:rRNA from 1 species